UAAAGAAUAAAGAAAUAAAUAAUAUGAAAAUCAUAUAUUUUCUGUUCUAAACCAUAUCUAUUCUAUUUUAGUGUGCCCAGCGAAGGGGGCCGGGUUUGCUAGUAUAUAAUAUAUGUAUGUAUAAUUGGCGCUUACACCCUUUCUGGGUGCUUGGCCGAGCUCUUCCUCUUAUUUGUGGCGUGCGUCGUGAUGUUGUUCCACAAAUGGAGGGACCUACCACUUAAGCUGACUACGACUAGCAGACUGUUUUUUAUGAGGAGUUUUUUCAUGGCAGGAAUACACUCGGAGGCUUGCCACUCCCUGCUGAUGGGCGGCCGCUAUUAGAAAGAAGAAAGGAAAGAAUUUUACCGCAUAGAAUUUCACAAUAUACAAUUUUGUAGCUGUAGAAUUCUAGCUGUAUUUUUAAUACAGAAUUUGAUAUACCGAAUAUUACACAAUAAGCAUUUCGCACCCAACCCCUAUGUUCAUACGUUCCGUGAGACUACAAUUCCCAUCAGACGUGUAACUGAAAUUGCAAUUUUUUUUUUCUAUGCCAUCAUUUGCUUAUGUAUUAUCAAUUUUGGAAUAAUUACGUACAUAUGUAUAUGCAUGUACAGACAUACAUACACAUCUUCUCACGUACAUAUAUGCGUGAUUACCUUGAUGAGUUUGCUCUCUUAGCUAUGAUCUACCCACUCAUACGUAUAUAUGCAAGCACACAUUUUUACAUACACAUGCACAUAUAUGACGGAAUAGAACUGUAGUUGCUUGACGCUCCUUUUUUUCUAUUUUUCCGUUGGUUUUUUUUCUUACAUACUUAUGUACAUAACGGUACACAUAUAUAUGGUAUAUGGCUAUGUACUGGAUAUAGGCAUUGAAAUCGGAGAGCGAAUUAGGGUUAUUGACCACAUCCCAACUUUUGGAGGAGCUGCUAAGGAAUCAGCUGCUAAUAAACCUAAAAAUAAUAUUGGUAGGAUGAUUUUAAAAGUAGUUUUGUAUUGUAAAAGCAAAUUAGUUCAGUUUUGAACAAAAUAUUAUUGAAUUGCAAAGAGAAAUACUUAGCCUGGUUUGAUUUUUUACGGUAGUGUGGAGCAGUUUCAGGGAGCUUCGAUAAAACGUCAGAGUGGUGAUUUGGGCAUCGAGAAGCAGGGCUAUGGACUAGCGAGAAGGAUGCUUGGUCAGCAUUGAACACUUGAAUUGAAAAAUCGUCAAAACAUUUAAGUUUAUGCAUGUAGUCGUUUGCACAAAAACAUUAUUUUUAUUUACAUGUCUGACGAAAAAUUGUACCCGCAAACUUACUUGUAUAAAUAAACCCAAACCCAAAAAGAAAGAAAAAUUUUAAAUAUUUUAAGUUGAAAUAGAAACAAUAAUAAAGGGUUAAAAAAAAAGUAAAUAAAAUGCAAAAAUUUUCCUAUGAAAUGUAUGUAUGUACAUACCAAUAAUACGAAUAGUAAAUAUUUGCAUUGCAAUAAAAAAUACAACCAUAAAUGUGACGUACAAAUAAAAUAAAUUAAUUUUAUUACAUACCUA